rnacentral:rRNA from 1 species
AGAAUCAACGCUGGCGGCGUGCCUAACACAUGCAAGUCGAACGAGAAAGUGGUAGCAAUACCAUGAGUAAAGUGGCGCACGGGUGAGUAACACGUGACUAACCUACCCUGGAGUGGGGGAUAACUGAGGGAAACCUUAGCUAAUACCGCAUAACACCUACGGGUCAAAGGAGCAAUUCGCUUCAGGAGGGGGUCGCGGCAGAUUAGCUAGUUGGCGGGGUAAUCGGCCCACCAAGGCAGUGAUCUGUA